rnacentral:ribozyme from 1 species
AAGAAAGAAAGAAAGAAAAAGUUAUUUUCUUUUUUUUUUACGAUCUGUCGGCCUGCAUGUCUGUAUGCCGACCUCAUGAGAGUCACUGAUGAUGAACAAAAC